rnacentral:rRNA from 1 species
UACGAAGGGGGCUAGCGUUGCUCGGAAUCACUGGGCGUAAAGCGCACGUAGGCGGCUUUUUAAGUCAGGGGUGAAAUCCCAGAGCUCAACUCUGGAACUGCCUUUGAUACUGUCGAUCUAGAGUAUGGAAGAGGUGAGUGGAAUUCCGAGUGUAGAGGUGAAAUUCGUAGAUAUUCGGAGGAACACCAGUGGCGAAGGCGGCUUCCUGGCCUGUUCUUGACGCUGAGGCGCGAAAGCUAGGGGAGCAAACAGG